UCCACGCCCUAGCUGUCUGCGUUUAGAGAGGCGUUGCCGCAGUGUCUGCGGCCCCUGAUACAUCAGCACCAUAAAAAACAGGAGUUACCGGACCUCUCGGUGGGGCCUUCCUAACGAAGAACUCCCCCACGCACCACGUAAGGUGGUUAGUGGGCGGUGCGCCGCAGCUGCUGGCAUCAUUCAUGCUGGGCCGGUGAGGAGAGCCUCUUUAUUUACAGCGCAUCAUCUGACCUGACACCAUGAGCAGCACUGUGAUCCAGCAGCAGGCUGUGCAAAGCCCGUCGGCGCAGCAGAAACCAGGACGAGGCCCCGUCCCCUGCCAGAACUGCGGGAAGCCUUGCAAAGGGGAGGCCCUGCGAGUCCAAAAUAAACACUUCCACAUCAAGUGUUUCGUUUGUAAAGUGUGCGGGUGCGAACUGGCCAAUGGAGGCUUCUUCCUGCGACAGGGCGAGUACAUGUGCACGCUGGAUUUCCAGCGUCUGUACGGUACUCGCUGCUUCGGCUGCCAGGACUUCAUCGAAGGAGAGGUGGUGUCCGCCCUGGGCAAGACCUACCACCCCCACUGCUUCGUCUGUUCCUCAUGCAAGCAGCCGUUCCCAGCUGGUGACCGAGUGACUUUUAAUGGGAAGGAGUGCGUCUGUCAAAAUUGUACCCAGCCUCUUCCUGCGAACAGUCCUGCACCCAUCCAGGCUGUCCACAACUGCUGCGGCUGCGGGAAAGAGUUUCAGAAUGAACAGUCCCUCGUAGCCCUGGACAAACACUGGCACCUCGGCUGCUUCAAGUGCAAAGUGUGUAACAAGGUCCUCAAUGCCGAGUACAUUAGCAAGGACGGGAUUCCCUUUUGCGAAAUGGACUACCACGCCAUGUUCGGCAUCCAGUGUGAGAGCUGCAAGAAAUAUAUCACCGGGAAAGUCCUGGAGGCUGGGGAAAAGCACUACCACCCAUCAUGUGCCCGCUGUGCCCGUUGUGAGCAGAUGUUUGCGGAAGGAGAAGAGAUGUACCUCCAAGGAUCUUCAAUCUGGCAUCCCCCAUGCAGACAAGCAGCAAAACAGGAGGAGAAGAAUAAGGUGACUCGGACUUCAUCUGAGAGCAUCACGUCUGUCCCGGCAUCCAGUGCCUCGGGCUCUCCCAACAGAGUCAUUUUUGCCAAGCUCGGAGAAGAGAUGCUAGACUACAAGGACUUGGCAGCCCUUCCGAAGACCAAAGCCAUCUACAACAUAGACCGGCCCGACAUGCUCUCGUACUCGCCCUACGUCAGCUACGCGUCUGAAGAAAGGCACUAUGGCGAGGGCGAUGGGAAGAAAUCACCGUGUCAACAUAGGCCCUCCAGCCCCAGUUCCAACAGCUCCAUGGGGGGCUACGGACGUUACACACCUUCUCGUUCCCCUCAAAACAACAGCCAACCAGGACCAGAAAUAGAUUGCCCGAGUAUAAUCGGGCCCCUCCGGCGUGGCGUCAAGUUCACCUCCAGCUUGGCCAGGGCUUCCCCUUCACAUCAAGCGCACCAUUCCAAGGGAACUGAAGGGUGUAGCGGUGCAAGUGGCAACGCGCUAUUGGGUGGAGGUAGCGGUGUGUCGCUACACCUGAACCCCACCACGUUGUCCAUGCUGCAGCAGCACAACUUCAUCCCUUACUUCCGAGGAAGUGAAAGUGGUCGGAGUACCCCCAGCCUCUCCACCUACUCUGACGGCAAAUCCCCAUCGUCCACCUCGACGUACGUGGCUGCCCCUCGCCAUUUCCAUAUACCAGAGACUGAGGUCAAAGAUAAUAUCUAUAGAAAACCCCCCAUCUACAAACAGCAUGCUUCCAGAACAUCCUGGCAGGAUGGCGAUGACGGCAAGAGGAGCACUUGGAUGAUCAUGAAGAGUGACAUUGAUGGGCACAUGGGUCCCGAAGACCUCGACCCGUCCAAGUCAACCUGCAGUUUGCCAAUGAAAACAUCUCGGCCAAAUUUUCCUCAUUAUAAAUCUGCAUCCUUGCCUGGUUACGGAAGGAACGGCAUCUACAAGGCUUCUGAGAUGGUUGAAGAUGAAGUCGAUCCAGACUCCCAAAGCUGGGGAGGCAUGAGAGGUACGCCCCCCCCCCCCCCCCCCACCGGCUCCUUCUUGCAAUACAAUUUAAUUUUUUUCGUGCGUUUCAUCAUAUUAACUCUCAUUUUUUUCCUUUUUUUUUUGGUUGCUCAGAGUACAAGGUGUACCCUUACGAAAUGUUGGCGGUAACACAUCGAGUCAAAGUGAAGCUUCCCCGAGACAUCGAUCGCACCCGACUGGAGAGACAUCUGUCGCCUGAAGACUUCCAGAAGGUGUUCGGAAUGACUCUGGAUCAAUUUGAGCGUCUGGCCCUGUGGAAAAGAAACGACAUGAAGAAGAGGGCUCGUCUUUUUUAGAAAGGAGCCCGCCAGUGGUCAGCGCUUGCCACUCCGCCCGCGCCCCCUCGCGCCAAAAGCUUUAUGUGUGCAAUACGAUGGCGAUGUUGGACUGGCGACCUUCUGGAUGAGCUGCAGGAAUCUUUGCAUGCCCCGUGCUUGUCGCGCCUCCCGCACUCAAACAUCUCUAUUAAGCUUUUUUUUCACGCCUGUGUUUACCUUCCCGUCAUUUUACCCGAAAAUCCAAAAUUCACAUUAAUCGCCUUGCAAAGUUCCCCGUUUUACAGGUUCAAAAUUAGCUUUUUUUUCCCCUCAAUUAAUUCCCGUGGAAUUAUGAUCUCUUUUCUUUCUCACAUACUACCAGUUUAUUCUUGUCACAUUACACUUUCUUCUUCAUCAUAUUCUGACUUUUUUUUUCUCAUGAUAAUACAACUUUUUAAAAUCAAAAUAUUGCAACCGUAUUCUUGUUUUUUCUGCAUAAGGCAGAAAAGGUUGUAUUGUUAUGAGAAAGAGGCUUGAUUUGUUUUCCUCUGUUAUUGUGACGACUUUACUCUUGUAAUAUGCCGACUACAUUCUUGUAAAAUGACAACUUUUUCAAAGUAUCGUGACUUUAUGUCUUGUGUUUCGACGACUUUAUUUUUGUUAUGUUCGAACAUACUGUACAUUUAACGCAUUCUGGUAACACUGGGAGAAUUCUUGAAAAUGUUCUCAUAAUUCUUGAGUUUUUCUCGUAACAUGACAACUUUUUUUCUCUCAUUACGAUGACUUCAUUCAUAUGACUUGACUCAUGUAACAUGACAACUUUUUCUUGUCAUAUUUCAGCAUUUUCUUCUUUACGAUUACGAUUGCUUCCUCCCGACAUUUUGACAUUUUUUCUUUCAAUGUUAAAACUUUAUUCUUGUAAAGUUGCAUCUUUUUCAGGUAGUAUUACAAAUGUCAUCUCAUAAUAUCAGGACCUUUCUUGUUGUAUUAUGACUUUAGUUUCCGAAUUGCUUAUGUAAUGGUCGGAUUUCAUUCUCAUAACUUUACAACAUUUCUCAUAUUAUUAUGACUUUAUUCUCAUAACAUUCUGACUUGCUCUUGACAUUACAAGUUUACUCUUGUAAGUUUGCAGCAUUUUCAGGCAAUGUUAUGAUUUUAUUAUAACAUUGUGACUUUUCUCCUAGCUUGGUUUCUUUUUUGUGGUUUGCUGCUAAAUUCUCAUCAGAACAAGAUGCCGUGCUUUUGUGUGUGUGUGUGGAAGGGGGUAUGUUUUGCACUCGUCUCAAUUGUUUGGAUUCACACACACUGUACCAUCUUUUCUUUAUGUUUUCGAUCUCACAUGACUGUUGGCGCCAUGAAUCCAAAACUAUGACAUAGUAUAUAAAAUCGUUUUAGCUUUAUUUAUUCAGGCCGCUUUGUUUGUUGCUCAAACGCAUCAUGGAAUACUGCUAAAGUAAAACUCACAACAAUAUUGCAAGAUGUACCGUAUGUAAGCAUCUACUACUGACAACAUAGACAUAUACAGUAUAUUGUAUAGGAUUUAUUUCUGUAUACAAGCCAUUGCAUGAUAAUGAUGCCUUUGUCGAAAAUGUUUGAGUGAAAUGAAGGAUCAGCUGCUCACCAUAACUUAUUUAAUUGUGAUAUGAUGGAAGGGAUUUUUUUUUAAGUUACAUACAUACAUAUCGAUGUUUUAUUUUGUUUUGCGCCUUGUAAGUCAAACACUAACUGUUCCAUGUUUCUAAUAUUCCUCUGCCAUUAAAGUGCUUUAUCCAACCUU